CCCCAUUGGAGGGGGAACCCCGGGAACUGGGGAUAAUACCCCAUAGACUAUGGAUGCUGGAAUGCUCUGUAGUUGAAAGGUCCGCCGCCAUAGGAUGGGUCUGCGGCCGAUUAGGUUGUUGUUGGGGUAACGGCCCAACAAGCCUGUAAUCGGUACGGGUUGUGGGAGCAAGAGCCCGGAGAUGGAUUCUGAGACACGAAUCCAGGCCCUACGGGGCGCAGCAGGCGCGAAAACUUUACAAUGCAGGAAACCGUGAUAAGGGAACUCCGAGUGCCCGUAAAAUCGGGCUGUCCAUCUGUUUAAAUAACAGGUAAAGAAAGGGCCGGGCAAGACCGGUGCCAGCCGCCGCGGUAAUACCGGCGGCUCGAGUGGUGGCCACUAUUACUGGGCUUAAAGCGUUCGUAGCUGGUUUGUUAAGUCUCUGGGGAAAUCUGCCGGCUCAACCGGCAGGCGUUCCAGGGAUACUGGCAGACUAGGGACCGGGAGAGGUGAGGGGUACUCCAGGGGUAGGAGUGAAAUCCUGUAAUCCUUGGGGGACCACCUGUGGCGAAGGCGCCUCACCAGAACGGCUCCGACAGUGAGGGACGAAAGCUGGGGGAGCAAACCGGAUUAGAUACCCGGGUAGUCCCAGCCGUAAACGAUGCGCGUUAGGUGUAUCGGUGACCACGAGUCACCGAGGUGCCGAAGAGAAAUCGUGAAACGUGCCGCCUGGGAAGUACGGUCGCAAGGCUGAAACUUAAAGGAAUUGGCGGGGGAGCAC
rnacentral:rRNA from 1 species